rnacentral:rRNA from 1 species
UAGGGAAUCUUCCACAAUGGGCGAAAGCCUGAUGGAGCAACGCCGCGUGUGUGAUGAAGGGUUUCGGCUCGUAAAACACUGUUGUAAGAGAAGAAUGACAUUGAGAGUAACUGUUCAAUGUGUGACGGUAUCUUACCAAAAAGGAACGGCUAAAUACGUGCCAGCAGCCGCGGUAAUA